rnacentral:rRNA from 1 species
GAUGAACGCUGGCGGCGUGCUUAACACAUGCAAGUCGAACGAUGAAGCUCAGCUUGCUGGGUGGAUUAGUGGCGAAUGGGUGAGUAACACGUGAGUAACCUGCCCUUAACUCUGGGAUAAGCCUGGGAAACUAGGUCUAAUACCGGAUAGGAGCGCCUACCGCAUGGUGGGUGUUGGAAAGAUUUAUCGGUUUUGGAUGGACUCGCGGCCUAUCAGCUUGUUGGUGAGGUAAUGGCUCACCAAGGCGACGACGGGUAGCCGGCCUGAGAGGGUGACCGGCCACACUGGGACUGAGACACGGCCCAGACUCCUACGGGAGGCAGCAGUGGGGAAUAUUGCACAAUGGGCGAAAGCCUGAUGCAGCGACGCCGCGUGAGGGAUGACGGCCUUCGGGUUGUAAACCUCUUUCAGUAGGGAAGAAGCGAAAGUGACGGUACCUGCAGAAGAAGCACCGGCUAACUACGUG